rnacentral:rRNA from 1 species
UACGUAGGGGGGCAAGCGUUUGUCCGGAUUUAUUGGGCGUAAAGAGCGUGUAGGCGGCUUUACAGGUCCGUUGUGAAAACUCGAGCUCAACCUCGAGACGCCGGUGGAAACCGUAAGGCUAGAGUCCGGAAGAGGAGAGUGGAAUUCCUGGUGUAGCGGUGAAAUGCGCAGAUAUCAGGAAGAACACCGGUGGCGAAGGCGGUUCUCUGGGCCUUACCUGACGCUGAGGAGCGAAAGCAUGGGGAGCAAACAGG